UAUUGGUAUAGUAUAAUAUUAGUAUUAUAUAUUAUGUUGUUUUAUUGAUACAGGCAACUUGGUGAAAUGGUGUCUUCCUGGCCCCCCUUUUCAAGUUGGGUGUCAAUACACCUUAAUAUCUCUAGUAUCUGAGCAAUACACCUCUGAAAAGCAAACAUUAGGAGCAGGAGCAAGAUAGUGGUAUUCUGCUCAUGUGUCCUUUGUGGACUCAACCUAGAUAUUUUGUUGGUCAUUGUAGGGACUGAGUGUGGAACCCUUCUAUGUUCCAUAAUUCUAGCACUAUAAUUCCAUAUUAACUGGCAAGGCAACAUCCUAUGUAAUUCUGAGGUUUUCAGUUUUAAAGAAGGAUAUUUAGAAUUCUGUGUGAGAGAACUUUAGUGUUUCCUUAGACUACAAAUUCCACAGGAUGGAGCCAUGGCAGUUAAAGUGAAAUCAUAGCACUAUAGCUGUGUAGAGCAAAGAUGUUGUUGAAGGACCCCUGAAUUUCAUAGGCUUAAUUCAGCACUGCUCUUCUUAUGCUCUGAGGAGUCUUUAAAUGGUGGGUCAAGGAUCACAAAUCAUUGUGCUCUCAUUUAAGAAGAACCACACCAGUGACGCCAACAUAAGAAGGGAAAGAUAAUUGAAAACUGAGAAAGGUGUUGUGUAACAGUCGUGUAAAGAAACUGUGAUGGCCUGCUUUCUAAUCAAAUUUGGAAUUGUGUCUUUCCAAAAGGAAGUAAUUGGAGCCCUGAUGACUUCAGGAACAGUUGACACAAACUUGGUGCCUCCUCUAAAAGAAGACCAAGAUCUUGGCAGAUAACUGAGAAAGAACCCAUCCACAUACCUUUAAAAUAGAUUAAAGGAAGAAGCAUUAUCCUCUUCCAAUAUCAUUUAGAAGAAACAUGUUUUUUGACCUCUGAGCUAAACUGCUAAGCUGUCUUUGCAAGUGCAAUAUUUUGAAGUGCUGAGUUAUUCCUGACAUUAAAACCCCAGCUGGUUUAUUUUACCACUGAGGAAAUGCAGGUACUUGUUCAGCAAAAAAGAAAACACCAUGGAAUAAAUUACUAUUUUUCCCAAGGAAAUUAAAGCUUUUUAGUAGUACCUACUUUAUUAGUCAAAUUUUAUUGCCAACCUACAGUCUGCUACUCAUCUUGAGAA